AAUACCUCGAAUGGAACCAUUUGUGGCUUUAGCACUUUCUGAAUCAGAAGCGGUGUCUUAUUUUUAACAGUCCUCAGUAGAUUUUUAUUCCACAAAUUUGCCAAAUCAUACACUUUUUAAGUCCCCCUAGGCUUUUGGUAUUUGCAGGAAGAGGUCCUUGCUCAGUGUGGCUUGACUAUGCACUGUUGAAAUGUGGGGUGGUUUUGUGUUUUUUGUUGUUUUUUGUUUGUUGGGGGGGGCUUUUUUUGUUGUUUUUUGUUUCUUGAGGGUUGUAUGCAGAUUCCCUCAGCCACUUAGCUUCAACAGCAUACUUCACCACCAUACUGUUUAUUUGUUUUCAGGUCAUUUAUCAUGAGUCAAUUAGCUUUUAUUUCAGAGGUAUGCCUCUGCAAAAACACCCUAAGGGAAUAUAUACACAAUUCAUUCAAAAAAGUAAUGGGAAUAUAGCUGUUCUCUAGUAUGAUCUUCGUUGACUAAUAGUACUCUUCUCAGCAUAUUCCAGGCCCAUGUCCUGAGUAGUUUACAAUCUAAUUGUGAACAGUUUCAGUAUAAACAAAAGUUGGUUUGAGUAGUUUGGAAUCAUAAAAUGGUUAGGGUUGGAAGGACCUUAAAGCUUAUCCAGUUCUAACCCUCCUGCCAUGGGCAGGGACACCACACACUAGACCAGGUUGCUCAAAGCGCCAUCCAACCUGGCCUUGAACACUACCAGGGAUGGAGCAUUCACAACUUCCUUGGGCAACCCAUUCCAGUGCCUCAACACUCUCACAGUAAAGAACUUCUUCCUUAUAUCUAACCUAAAUCUCCCCUGUUUAAGUUUAAACCCAUUACCCCUUGUCCUAUCUCUACAGUCCCUGAUGAAGACUCUCUCUCCGGCAUCCCUGUAGGCCCCCUUCAGAUUCUGGAAGGCUGCUGUGAGGUCUCCACGCAGCCUUCUCUUCUCUAGGCUGAACAGCCCCAACUUUCUUAGCCUGUCUUUAAAAGAGUGUUAACUAAAUUUCUCCUAGUGACAGAUUAAUUUUUAGAAUAAAAAAAUAGCUUUUCAUUUACUAUUCCUUAAGCAAAUACAGAAAAAUAUAAAGUGUUUCACUUAAAUUGGAAUGAAAAAAUUAGUUUCAGGGUAAUGUGAUUUUUUUGUCAUCUUAUAGUUUCACUAACAAAGAAGAUGGGUAGUUUAGUGAUUUGGGAUGAUUCUUAAAGUGCCAUAUGAUAGAAUACCUGAACCUAUGUAACAGCUGCUAUUGAUGCUGUGGCCUUGACAUACAAACAAAUGUCUUCAGUUGCUAUUUGAUAAGGUUUGAAAUUUUAUAUCCCAAUUUUUAUUUAAAAAUACUGACUUACUGUUGUCAUUGUCUGUUCUCUGUUUGAAAAAAGAAGAACUAGAAAGAAUAGAGAAUAUAACUAUGACUCUCCACUCAAGGCUGUAAUCUGGACAUCUUCUUUGUCCAGUUUCUCUCCUUUGACCUACACAUCCAGAACAUGUCUAAAUCUUACCACAUCCACUUGAAUGUUUCUAAGUUUUAAAUGUUCCCUUCUGUUUGCACUGCCCGUUUUUUGUUUUUUUUUUUGUUUGUUUGGUUGGUUGGUUGGUUGGUUUUUUGUUUUUUUUUUUGUUUUUGUGGGGUUUUUUUGUAAAUGCUCUGGCUGUUUUGUGCCCUGUAAUCUUGGAAUGCACGGGGACCACCCCUGUUUCAAAUUGCUGUGGUUUUCACCUCAAAGUACCUUUGUUUUCUCCUGUUCUUCAGACACAUCAAAUACAAACAUUUGAUUAUUCCUUCCUAAUUUAGUCCUGUGUUUCUGAUCAGUUUCGAACCAUGUGAACAACUUUUGCAGCUGUUUAAUAACUUUGGACACAGUUGUCCAGCCCUUCACUUCAGAAAACCAUUUUGUGCUUUGCCUUGUAUCAGCACAGAAAGGUUAAUCAAAUUCUAGGAAGUCUUCUUUAAAGUUUCUCUUCAAGCCUUCCAUGUACUCAGCAAAGUAAUAAUAAUUAGAUCUAAUGAUUAUUGUAUGUAAUUGUGCCCUGACUGUAAUCCUUGCCCUUUUUACAUGGGGAAUGAGAUUAACAAUAUGGUGCCUAACUUGGAAACUUUCACAGGGUAAUAUUUCAGGAAAUUAUGAGACACAUCAGUGCUCUCUAGGUUCUCCUUUUUGUGUAUUUUUGUGACAGAAUUGUCUUGGAUAUGGUUGACAGCUUUCUCAAGCACUGAACUUUAUCUUGGCCAAAAUGCAUCUGUUCUAUUUGAGAUUCAUUUUUAAUAAUGAGCUUAGACGUAAUCAACUUCUUUAAACAAAGUAUCCUUUGAAACUGAAAACAAAAGAAAUUUCAACCAGCUACAUGGUUUAAAUAGCUUGGCUUUCUAAUCAUAAUCUGGGAUCAUUUGCGUAGAAAUUCUUGGGUAUGACUGAAGAAUGGGUAAAUUGAUGCCUUGUUCUGGGAACAAUAUUCUACUACCUGAUUACUGGUGUAGUGUAAAGCAUAGGGGGGGAAAGACCCUCCCCCCCCCCAAAAAAAAAAAUAAACAAACUCAACAAACAAAGGAAAUAUUACACCUCCAGAAAACCCAUAUAAGUGUGGUUCACUUAUGGAAAUCAAAAGUCUUAACCAAACUUGAAUGAACACUUGGGAAACACCAGCAUUACACACUAUCUGUGUAAGUUUGUAUUGGGGCAAACACUGCAGCUGCUCUAUUUGGUAAACUGUAGGAAUAAGUACUGCAGCUAGCAAUUAGAGCUGCCUGGAUGCUCUCAUAUUUAUCUGUGUAUAAUGUUUAAAAGCAGGCUAUGAUAUCAACUGCCAAGAUGUGCAAAUGUCUUCAGCCCUAAAAUCCUAGAGAGAUCUGCGGUGGUCCAUAGGCAAGCAGACAUAAUGGAUGUAAGUGACUGAAGGAUACCAAGAUGCAGUUACUAGAGGAAUUUUUAAAAUGCAGGAUUGAUGCAUUCUUCAUGCAAGUUCUGAAAGGGGUGGAGGGAAAAAGGAAAACAGCAUUUUUUUAAGGAAAUGUUUAAACUUUCAAUGUUUUCUGAUAUACUAGGGGAAAAGAAAAAAAAAAAAAAACAUUUUCCAGACUCAUUUUAUAUACUUCCAAGUGUAGGAAUUCUUAAAAUGAACACGGGGUAGUUAUGGUGUUAGUUGAAAUCCUGGCACGUAUCCUAUUUAGUUAGCUCCCUAGCCAGGUCUCUUACUCAAAUAGGUCUGUACUAAACCUAAUAGUGCAAUUAACAUACUUCUGAAUAGAGAAACGUUGAAUUUCUGUAAAACAUAUUAAUCUGGCAUGUAAAUUAAAAUAACUAAGAAAUUUUCAGGCUUUGAGUGGAGAGGCCCGAUUUCGUACACUGCCCAGCAAAAUAAAAGAGCCUUAGACAGGGUAGUCAGGAAAGCUGCUUUAGUAGGUACUUUUUUUUAUCCUGAGGCUUUAGGCAAUAAUGAUCUAUAAACAGGAUCAUGCUUCUGAGAGGUCUAGCUAAAAGCCUUUGUUUUUAUAGCUGAUACAGGAGUAUAUUGACUUGGGACAUAAAUGAAAUGAGUAUAUUAUUUUACUAUAUGUAAGGUAACAAGAUUCCAGUUGCCAGAGCAAUAUGCACAAGUACAUUUCUGUUUCUGUUAAUCUGAAAUACAUAUAAACUAUUUUUAUAAAUGGACAUGACAUUUUAGAAGAUCUUUGUGAAGUCAGUCCGUGCUUUCCCAGUUACUUGGAAAGUUAGUCUUAAAUGACAAAAUGACUUGCAGAAAUUUAACUUACGUGAACCUUAACCAAUAGAAUCAGGUACUUUCCAUGUAUUUUUAAUUAUUUAAUCACUGAACAUUGUUCACAAAUGCAAAUGUAGAUUUUUUAGGGUGCAAACAAUAUGUUCCAAGAGUUGAAAGCCAUUUCUUCUGAUAAGAAAUCUGUGAUGUGUUUCUCGUCCUUCCCCACCUUUUUUUCCCCUUUUUCCCCCUCCUUCUUCCAUUUUUCCAUAUGGACAGGCUAUGGGACUCUCUAAGGACUCGCUUUCUUAAAAAGCUUCCUUGAUGAUUAACAGUAAGCUAAACAUACUUUGUUUAAAUUAGGCAAGGAUUCAGUAUUCUUUUUAUCAGCUGAUCUGUGUUUAUGUUCAUGCUGAAAGCAUAUCUGUACCUAGUACUAUAGGUCAGAUAAUCUUAUUAAUGAUAACAGCAGGAGCAUGCACAAGUAUCAACCCCCUGCAUAAUUUCAAUGUGAGAAUAAGCACAAUCUUCUACUCAAUUGUUGUUAAAUGUUUACUGAAUCAAAAUGAUUCCUCAUUUCAUACAUACAUGUAUGUGGAAAGCUGACUCCCAACGUUGAAACUUUUAAAUUUUUUUACAGCUGAGAGUUUUAGCUACUACUGGUAUUUCUAUCCUACUUUGUUUAGGCUCUGCUUUGGGGUUUUGAGAGAUGCACUGAGCUUCGCAAUUGUUUCUUAGUCUCGGAUAAUCACUACCAUUGCUUUGAUAGCCCAUAUUCCUGGGCAAAUUUGUGUUUUUGCCCACUGAGAUCAUUAGCACUAGCUUUGGGAGUAUUUGUUAACUAGGUUUGUGGGUUCCUCAGGGGCAAGUAGCAUCAAAAUAGCUUAUUAUCCCAUCAACACCGCUAGAGAAUUGGUUUUGACCGCCCUGUUUCAGUCAGGAUGAGAAAGAACUGUGCUCCAGACAAAGACAAAACCGCAUACCUGGGACCCUCUGACUCCUGAGUAAGGCCUUAGUAGCGAGUCAGCUCCAUGACCAUGGUGGCAAUUAGAGAAGCUGGUCAUCUCACUACCUGUCUUUCAGAGAGCCCUAACACAGGCUAUUGCCAUAUUACCAUGUUCUUAAGGGAAAGAUCUCCCUGUGGUCUAGAUCUUUACCUCCCCUCAGUGCUUCCUAACUACUUUCCAAGGCUAUUUUUCUAAGAACUCCUGAGUUACUUGUGCUCCAUAAAAGACUGGACUCUCCAGCCUCACUCCAGUUCCACAUUUGGAACUAUCUUGCUUCUCAAACUAUAUCCACAAGAUUUUUGACCAUACGGUGACCUUUAUCAGAUUACUGCCCAAAGAUUUUUGCCAGAAGUUUGACACUCCAAUUAUUGAGGGUCAUAUGUCAUCUAGAACAAUCCUACAAGCCUCACUUGACACAGCAGGGAUAACAGUCUGUGCUUUCACCUCCUCCUUAUUGCUUAGGCAGUUUUCUUGGCUCCUGUGUUUCCAGGAAGAAUAAAGCAAUUAUAAAGAGAUUCUUUAGCAUCAUUCCAAAGGAGCAUUACGGACCACAAAGUGGUGUGAGCUAGAACAUCAUGGCAGAAGCAAGCAGAAGCGAUAGGAGAUAGCUUACUCUUCUACUGGUUGUUUAGUAUAAUUUUGCCCUUUUUUUGAAGUAUAGACUUUUUGUGGAUGAGUCUGAGUAACAUUAUUAUUAGAGUGUUCUUCUAAUUACUCAUUCUCCCAGGUCUUUGUAAUGGAUGCUUUCUUUCUUGGCUAGAAGUUGUCCUUGGGUGACUCAAGAUUGGAAGGAGGUAUGCUGUCUUCCCCAGAAGCAUAGUAUAUCAGGUAUCAGACAUUUCUGCUAGCAAUCUGCCUGGGUUCUUGAAUGAGCUGGAAAUCAGAUUAGGUCAUUUCAAGCAUCCAUAUCACAAGCAGGAAAUCCAUGACACAGUUCUGGAGACUUUUCUACAAGAAUAUGGUUAACCAAGACCUGUUCUUCCCAUAGACGUGAACAUGAAAUGCCAUCCUUUUUACUCCAGAGUGUCUUCCAGAUCCUUUUUUAAUCAGUGUUAAAGGAGACAGAUGCAUUCAUGUCAACUAUAUGUGUGUUUUCUAAUCUUCAUUCUGAAAGCUAAAAUAGGAUAAUCAUGAUCAUGCUGGUAGAUAAGGAUGAACAUAAAGCAGAUCUGACAUAAUUUAGACUUUUCAGUUGAACUUCUUGGUUCAACUUCAUUAUUGAUAUUGAAGUCCUUUUUUUUUUUACCUUUUAAUCCACAGGGAAUGCUGUUUCCCUUCAGAGAAAUACCCUAAUUAAUAGAAGAACAAAUAAAAAGCAGAUGUAUUUGGCCAAGUAGACUUAAUUUGCCAUGUGAUACACAGAAAAGCCAAUUUUCCUUUUCUUGGCCUCAUUGUUUGGAAUUCUGCUGUAUUUCCUGGAUAGCACUGAGUUCCUCUAUCAGCAUAAUCUAUUUGACAGCUGUUUCAGCACUGUGCUUCCAGGCUGGUGGCUUCUUUGUUUUUGUUGACACUAUAGUAAUUGUAUCUUGAAAGGUUUGUUAGGUUGGGUUUUUUUUUUCUCCUUUAUGUACAGUUUUCAAGUAGGAUCUGAAUAUCAUAGUUGUUUUCUCUGAGUCUGAACACUUUUUGAGUGGUCAGAAAUGGUACUUGAGCUUUGAAGUGCCUGCAAAUGUUCAUCACAAGUCCUCAUAAUUUAUGCUACUCUUGCAAAGGGGUAUGCAUGAAGAAAGAAAAAGAAGAACACCAUAUGCAAAGGUAGAUAUAUAUUAAAACUAUGAUCAGCUAUUUAAAGACCUUAAAAUGGUGAUAAUGCGUACAUGCAGCAGUGCAACUUAGGAAAUGGCAUUUCCUGAGCUGAGAAGCAUUCUCAUUCUGUGAAAUUCACAUUCAUUUCACUUUGUAAAAGUGAUUGUAUAAUGGCUAGAAGCCAGAGAAAAUUGAUCAGUUUGAUAAACCACUCUCAAGCAAUGAAGUACUGCUAUCAUUUUACUUGUAUGCUACAGUUGCAUAACGCUAUAUUAUUAAAACCAUUUGUAAAAAUACAAAUGUGUUAUUCUGUCAAUUCCUGUUACAUUUUUUAAUUUCUUUCCUCCUUUGUGGCUAACCAGUUUUGGAAGUCAGAAGUCAGAAGACCAUUCACAAAUCUGUUGCUGCAGGCUGAGAACUGGUAUCUACAUUAAUCCUUUAAACUCACAAGGCAAAUGCUAUGAUACGAAAUUUAGAGAUAUGCACAUACCCACCAAAGGCACAAAUAAACUAUAUGUAUACUUUCUUAGUUUGAUUUAGAUUUUACAGUACUGACUACACAUUCAAGAUCUAAGUAAGAGUAUGGCUAUACUGAAGUGGAAACAAAAAUUGUAACUUGGAAACUGUAUUUUAAAACUCUGGGUGAAUAUAUACUGAAGAAAUAUUUAAUGAGUCUGCUUUGCAUUAGAAAUAUAUAUUGAUAUCACUUCAGCAGAGAGCUUCAUUAUGAAAAAGCAAGCCAUACACUUGGGUGAAGUUUGGUAAUUAUUCAUAAGGAAGCAGUAUCAGGGCAUACUUCAAAUUAAAUUGUAUAAAUGGGUUUUGGAUAAGAUCCAGAACAAAUUAACUUAAAGUUUUAAUUUAGUGGUAAGAAGACUAUUUUUGCUUGAAACUAAUGUAAAUAAUGUGUGCUGACUGUGUGUAAAGUUAAUAGUGAGAAUACAGAAUUUGAUAAAAGGAGCAUUCUCUUUGUCAGGAGUGUAUUUUGUAGCUUUUACCUGUGUGAUUUUGCACAAUAUUAAAAAGAAAUACAAAUCCAUUCAUAUUUGCUACUCACUGUGAAACAAGGAGGUACCCAGGGCUUUCUGGUAAUUGUAUUGCCUUAAUGCAUUUCCAGUUGCAUAACAAAAAAUUGAUAGCCUCUAUCACUGGUCACCUUUAAAAAUUGGAAGGUACAUAUUUGAUUUCCCACCUGGAAAAUACCUCCCUCAUUUUAUUAAUUAUUAUAGCACAGUUGAAAGGGUCUGUGUGCCCUUCAAUAGUCUUCUGAUUUCACACUUGCUCUAUUAUUUUUUUUAUUUUUUUUUUUUUUUUGUAAUUUAUAAUUUCCAAGUAUAAAAUCUUCCAUUUGGUAAUACCUUUUGUCUGAAGAAUUAUUAUUCCUGUUCAUUUAAUGUGAUAAACACAUCUUAAAAAUACUUCGGUGCUACAGAAUCUGUUGUGAAUGAGACAUCUGUAGUCAUAAAUUUAUUUGUGACUUCUUAAUACCAAAAAACAUGUGCAGAUGUGUUGACUGUAUAGUGAUAUGCUAAUAACUAGUGCAGAGAUUUUUAGAUACUCACUAGUUAGUUUUAAGGCAGGUUUAUGUCGAGUCAGUCUGGAAUUAAUUUAGAGCCCUUCAGGCCCAUCACUGAAUCCUUCCAUGGACCAGGCUGAGAAGCCAAGGGUUGUGCCAAAUACUCUGGAUUUAGAAUUAUCCUUACAUCACUGGAAUUUAUUCAUAAUUUAAGCAUGUAUGAUGCACUGUCUGAGCUCAGUGAUCUGUCAGAAUGACUGCAGACAAUGGGAAUUACACUGCCAGAAGCGCUCUCACAGGCUUAGAUUUCUGCUUGCAUUGUUGUUAGUUUAGGAAUAUAUGC